GCGAGGAGUUCAAAACACCAAGCCGCGCCAAGCCCAAAUGACCAGCAUCCCGUUGUUCUUCGAGCCGAAUCGAGGCCAAACUUCGGACAGCAUCCAGUUCCUGGCCCACACCUCGCGAGGCGCCGCCGGGUUCUCGGCUUCGCGGAUUACCCUGCCUUCCGGUGUGCGCAUGAGCCUCGCCGGCGCGUCGAAAUCCACCAGCGUUUUGGCUGAAGAGCCCACAUCCGGGCACAGCAGCCAUUUCAUGGGCCGGAACCGACAGGACUGGCGCACUGGGAUACAGCAUUUCCGGCGUCUUCGCUAUCGCUCGAUCUAC
rnacentral:misc_RNA from 1 species